AUAUAUAUAUAUACACACAUUAAAAUAUCAUACUUCUAAUUUAAAAGGAAAAAAACAAUAUUAUUUGCAGUGCACUAUAUUUAAUAUAAGAGAAAUAGAAAUAAUAAGGUUAUAGAAAGGAAGUGAAAUUCAAAGAAAGAUUAAUUAACUCCACUUUAUUAGGGUUUAGAGCAAGUGCUUGACGAAAAAAACACUGAGAACUCUUUAAUAGAUAAGAUUUAUAUAGGACAAGAAAAUUUACAUAUGUGAAAAGUAAUAUUCUAGUUUAAUCAAAUCUUGUAUUAUAGCAAAAAAUGGAGAAUAUCAAAUGUGUACUAUUAGAAUCUCUAAAAUCUUUCCUGUUUAUUUUUAUUCCUUAUCUGAGUAAGAGUUGACGUAGAAUUCACUAGCUAUAUAAUCACUUGUUUGUACAAUCCUUAAUUUAGAUCCUAAUCGUAAUCCCUUAUUAGUUGUAUAAUCCCUAACUUAGUUCCUAAUUUGUUGUAAUCCUUGGUUAGUUUUUUUUUCCUUAUUUAGUUAGGCCUUCUUGGUGCAAC
rnacentral:misc_RNA from 1 species